rnacentral:tRNA from 1 species
AGUAGAGUACCUUAAACAAAGGGCUACCUUGAUGCGGCAGACAUGUUAAAAACCUCUACUA